UGAUACUUUCCUAGUGUCUUCCCGGAGAGC
rnacentral:piRNA from 1 species